UAAGUAGACUGAGUAAUCGCAGGUACAGUGCUGCAAAGCCGUACUCUGAGGAAAGUCCGGGCUCCAUAGGGCAGGAUGCUUGAUAACGUCAAGUGGGGGUAACCCUAAGGAUAGUGCCACAGAAAUAAACCGCCAACAUAGUUGGUAAGGAUGGAACGGUUGAGGUAAGAGCUCACCAGCGAUUAGGUGACUAAUCGGCUAGGUAAACCCCAUCUGGAGCAAGACCUAAUAGGAAGAAGAUAAGGAUAGCCCGUCCAGUUCUUCGGGUUGGUCGCAUGAAGUGGCAGGCAACUGUCAUUCAAGAUAGAUGAUUACUCACGACAGAACCCGGCUUAUAGGUCUACUUUCAAG
rnacentral:RNase_P_RNA from 1 species